rnacentral:tRNA from 1 species
AGUAACAUGUCUGAAUAAAGUAAUAAAUUGUAAAUUUAUUUAUGGAAUUAAAAUUGUUCCUGUUACUA